rnacentral:ncRNA from 1 species
CUGGUUGAUCCUGCCAGUAGUCAUAUGCUUGUCUCAAAGAUUAAGCCAUGCAAGUCUAAGUACGAGCUCUCGUACAGUGAAACUGCGAAUGGCUCAUUAAAUCAGUUAUGGUUCAUUUGAUCGUACAGUUUACUUGGAUAACUGUGGUAAUUCUAGAGCUAAUACAUGCGAGAAGCGCCGACCUCGCGGGAGGCGUGCAUUUAUCAGACCAAAAACCGGCCGCGUCUUCGGGCGCGUUCGCCUUGGUGACUCUGGAUAACUUUGCGGAUCGCACGGUCUAGCACCGGCGACGGAUCAUUCAAGUGUCUGCCCUAUCAACUUUCGUCGGUACGGUAUUUGCCUACCGAGGUUCUUACGGGUGACGGGGAAUCAGGGUUCGAUUCCGGAGAGGGAGCCUGAGAAACGGCUACCACAUCCAAGGAAGGCAGCAGGCGCGCAAAUUACCCAUUCCCGACGCGGGGAGGUAGUGACGAAAAAUAACAAUGAUUACAGUCGGUUGCGUAAUGAGUUACUGAGUAACUUGCUGGGAACUCAAGAUAUGUU